AGUGAACGCUGGCGGUAGGCCUAACACAUGCAAGUCGAACGGCAGCACAGUAGGAGCUUGCUCUUACGGGUGGCGAGUGGCGGACGGGUGAGGUAUACAUCGGAAUCUACUUUUUCGUGGGUGAUAACGUAGGGAAACUUACGCUAAUACCGCAUACGACCUACGGGUGAAAGCAGGGGAUCUUCGGACCUUUUGCGUUUGAAUGAGGCGGUGUCGGAUUAGCUAGUUGGCGGGGUAAAGGCCCACCAAGGCGACGAUCCGUAGCUGGUCUGAGCGGAUGGACAGCCAGCUGGGAACAGAGGAAGAUCACAGACUCCUAGAGGGGGACGCAGUGGGGAAUCUUACGCGAGGGGGCAGUGGGGGAUCCAGCGAAACCGGGUAAGUGCAGACGGAGUCAGGGUGGGUGAAUCAUGUAGUUGGGAGAAAAGAAAAAUUGUUUAAUAGCGCGCGAUAAUGACGGUACCCGGAGAAGAAGCCCCGGCUAACUUCGUG
rnacentral:rRNA from 1 species